GGUCCUGUGGUCUAGUGGUUUAUGACAGCCGGGUGGGAGGCUUAACCCACCAUGGGCCUUGCCACCCCAUGGUGCCUGUUGCAGUGUUCCAGACACGCAUCAGACCGGAAAACCUAUGUUCGAUUCAUAGCAGGGCCA